rnacentral:lncRNA from 1 species
CGUCAAAGAAUACAUUGCCCCUGGGCAAAGGCACAACCUUGUGAUCAGCUUGACUGCUGUCAGGUCUCGGGGCUUAAAUGUAUCUUUACUCUAAAGAGAAAGAUGCACACUAGUGGUGCCAAUGGUGAUAAUAAUCAAGAGUGUUUUCUAAUGAGCACUAUUGAUUAGCAUCACCGAGAACCGAUACUUUACGUGGUCUAUGAUGAAGCGGUCCUUGUUUGUUUUUUCUAUACGUUUUUUAUUUAUGCUUCCAGACACUCAUCCGGUAACAGUUUAAUCAAAACCUCCUAACAUUGAAGAAAUCGUGCUGAACAGGAACACGCAUCGACGUACAAGGAUACAACAAAAUCUUAUUAAACCCGUUUCUUUUACUAAUAAUACCACUAUUUACUAAUUUACUAAUUAUAUCAUUCUCUUUUCGUCAACAAGCGUCAUUUCAGGAUUAGGAUUUUCAUUAUAGCAUUGAAUAUACUAUAAGAAUGCCGUCAGACUAAAAAAACGUGUGACUAAUCGCUAUCUCUAUUUGUAGGUACCUGUAACCGUGAAUAGGAAUAGUAACUCAUGAGAAAAAUACUAGGAUAUAAAUCCUAGUAAUGACAUAUUAUCGGCGCGGUAAAAAAUAGAAACAGUUUAUUCGCUGAGGUUGAAUUUUUGUAAGUGUAAGUGAUUAUAGUAUAGUCUGUACUUGUGAUUGCUGUGCGAUGCGCUUCAUUGUUGCAGGACAUUGUUCUCAUUAUUAUACGGCCUUCAGCCCUCGGCGGGAUCACCUUAAGAAGAUAUAUGAAUAAUUCCGUAGCUGGUUUUGAUCAUGUUACUAAGAAAAUAGUGAUAAUGUGAUAAUAUAGUGAGAUGACGUUAUUGUGUCGAAUAAUUUUGUGUGGUUAAUGGUAGUAAGCUACUAAGGUUGUGAUUAUUAGAGUGAUGAUAGUUUGUGAUAAUUUGAAUAUUAGUGAUAUAAGAAACGAGAAUCCUACUUUUAUUUUAAUGAAGAUAAUUAUAUUGGUGUUGAUGUGAUUUAUUUUUUACAGUGAUUAUUUUUAAUGAGAAGUUUUAUACUUUAAACUUGAUGAAGCAGUAGUAUUGUGUUGUGGCUGGGUUAUAGAUGUGAUGUUAAUAAUAAAAUUAAUAUGGAUAAUGGUGACGUUGUUAGUAGAAAUUCUGUUAAUAAUGAAGAUGGUGAUAUCAAUACCAGUGAAUAGUGCUAUGAAGUAAUCUAAUAGUUAUCAAGUGAAGUGAUAGUGUGAAAAGAACGUUUCCCACCUUCUACCGUAACCUUCUGAGACAGAUCGCAACAGUGUCUUCUUGGAAGCCAUGUUUCCGUGCACGUCUGGUGAACUGCUUCAGAAGGAUUACGUCCUCUUUACUAUCUAAAGUCUAGUUUAGAGCUUUGAACAGUAUUCACUGUACGGCUAGCAACAUAAAAAAAAAAAAAAAAA